UACAGAGGUCUCGAGCGUUGUUCGGAUUCAUUGGGCGUAAAGGGUGCGUAGGUGGCAUGGUAAGUCGGAUGUGAAAUCCCGGGGCUUAACCCCGGAACUGCAUUCGAUACUGCUGAGCUAGAGUACUGGAGAGGAGAUUGGAAUUUACGGUGUAGCAGUGAAAUGCGUAGAUAUCGUAAGGAACACCAGUGGCGAAGGCGACUUCCUGGCCUGUUCUUGACGCUGAGGCGCGAAAGCUAGGGGAGCAAACGGG
rnacentral:rRNA from 1 species